GACAGAGGAUGCAAGCGUUAUCCGGAAUGAUUGGGCGUAAAGCGUCUGUAGGUGGCUUUUUAAGUCUGCCGUCAAAUCCCAGGGCUUAACCCUGGACAGGCGGUGGAAACUACCAAGCUGGAGUACGGUAGGGGCAGAGGGAAUUUCCGGUGGAGCGGUGAAACGCGUAGAGAUCGGAAAGAACACCAACGGCGAAGGCACUCUGCUGGGCCGACACUGACACUGAGAGACGAAAGCUAGGGGAGCAAACAGG
rnacentral:rRNA from 1 species